GCCGGAGUGGCGGAACUGGUAGACGCGCAGGUCUUAGGAACCUGUGUCCCUUCGGAUGUGUGGGUUCGAGUCCCACCUCCGGCA
rnacentral:tRNA from 3 species